rnacentral:lncRNA from 1 species
AUAAUUCUUAACUAAAAUAAUCUAUUGUUGAACACAAUAAAUCAAAUUUAUUUCACAGAUAAAACAGAGAAGAAAGAAAAGCUGAACACACAGAUGUGUGUCUUGUAGAAUAAUUAACUCAGCCAGAAUAAUUCAUUGAACAUCUAUUAAAUGCAAGGUGGUUUUCUCAGAACGGGGAAUAACAAUAACAUCUUCCUAUGUGCCAGUUCUAUCUCACACUAACUCCAAACUGAGGUUUCACAUCUCCGAAAGCUUUAAUCACUGAGAUCCUCCCUCCUCC